CUUGAGAGCAUUUGUGCUCCUUUACAAGAUGUUUCUACAGUAUCUGUAAUUUUCUCCUAGACAAGUCACAUAUAAAAAAAAAAAAAUAGUCCGAUAAUAAUCCUAACCUUUUUCUGUACAAUAAAGCAUCACCACCAAGAACUGUCAAUCAGUGUCAUUUAACAGUCUGUAAUACCCACAAGCCGAAAUCCAUUAUUUACACGAUUAUUGUCCUUAGAUAAAACACCAAAUACAGUGUCACUGGUCAGAAUACAGCAG
rnacentral:lncRNA from 1 species